CGCCGGCGCCGCUGCCGCCGCCGUGCUGCAACGCACUGGCGUCAUGACGUCACUGCCCCGCCCCUCCGGUUUCCUGCAGACUCGCGUGGAGCCUUUAGGGGGAAGCAGUGGGCGUGGCUAAAGAUGGUUAAAAGUGGUGAUAAAUGCAUGAUGUUGACCUUUCAGCAUUUGGAAAAAAUGUGUGCGAGAGAAACAUCGAUGUGAGAGAGAAACAUUGGUUGCCUCCCGUAUGUGCCCUGACCAACAAUCAAAUCAGCAGCCUUUUUGGUGUAUGGGACAAUGCUCCAACAAACGAAGCCACCUGUCUAGGGCCUACCUAAUUUUUUAAAUAAGGAAAGAGAUUGCCUUUGAAAACAGAAAGCUGAAUGCCCUCGCAAAAACACUUGGACCUUGAAACUCAACUGUCAAAGUACAGUCAUACCUCGGUACUCAUUGGCUUCAGAACUUGCCAAAACCUGUACUCAUCAUAUUUUGGCGAGAAAAAAAAUGUUUCAAUACUCGGAACUUGCUCAGGACUCAUGCUUGCUAGCACUUGUAUGAAUCACUCUGCCGCCCCACAAGAGAAAAUGUUUUAUCGUUUGGUACUCAUCAGUUUUGACACUGGUCAUGAUUUUUGGAAUGAAUUAAUGAUGAGUACCAAGGUACCUCUGUAUUCUUUUAUUUAUGAAGAAACAAUUGUCAUACGUAUCAAGCUUUCCCAUUGUUAAAUGGUUUGAAAUAAUUUUGAAUUAGCCAUUAGAAGAGAUGGAAGCAAGUUUGAGAGUCUAGAAGUACUUUAUAUGUUUUAUUAGUGAUUUAGAUGAUAUUUAUGAAUUCAGUUUGUGGUUGAUUCUAAGUUAUAGGGUUAUUAGCACUUUAGAAUAUAAGAAUGGAAUUCAAAUGAACUUGGAUAGAUUUAAAGUUGAUCAUUCUAAAGAGGGACACAUGUAGGCAGGAAAGACAAAUAUAUAAUAACUGUAAUAUGCAAAUGUGGUAGGAAGGAAUUCAGAGUACCAAAUUGAGUAAUCUCAAGGUAAUUCUUGUGUUACUUUCUUCAGAUGUUAACUGAAAUACUCUGGUCAGUCAUGGGCCUACCAAUUUAAGGAAUUAUUAUGAAUUGUAUCAGAUUCAGAGAAUAUAAAAAUUAUUAAAGGCUGGAAAUUUAGAAAUGUGAAAACCUAGAAAAUAAGUCGAAUUUCAGUUAUGUAAGGUCUCGAAAUUUUUUACAUCUCAAACACACAUUCUCAGAAGCUGCUCCAGGAUACACUCCACCAAAAUGAGGGAAUUAAUCAGAGACAGAAGAAAACAGUGGAUACAAGAUAUAAGCCAAGGAAGUUCCCAGGACAGAGGGGAGGGUGAGCCUGGAAGGCAAGUAUGCACCUUGUGUCCAGGACCAUCCGGUUGAUGUACAUUACAAAGUGCCAGGAGAGACUUCAUUGAGAAGAUGAAUAUGAAAAAAUCCAUGUGUGUUUAAAUAUUUUAAGAAAAAAGUUAUACGGUUGGUGGAGAGUGUGGGUUAAAUUAGUGAGAGUACAUAAUCUACUUGACAAUACAAACAAAGAUGAACUUCAGGGAAAUAAAAGUUCAAGCCAAAAAGAAAAGAAUUAUAGUAUACAUAUGACAGAGCUUAGCCAUAAAUAACAUUUAUUUAUAUACCAACUAUAAUAUAAACACUAAAUAUUAAUCUAAUGUAAGUUAUUAUCUAAUGCUACUGAGUGGAUGAAGAGAUGAGAAGAGGGGAUGUGUGUGAUGGGGGAUGGAAAGGGUGAUAAAAAAACCCCUACAUCCUUGUAAUUCACAGUGAGAAGUUAUGGAUAAUACCUACAUCUGAAAAAUGAAGUUAGCAAUAUAAGCAAAUAAAACAUACUUAAAAUUGUGAAAGUAAACACCAGAAACAUUAGUUAACUAAUUAAUCAAAUAAACAAAGCAAAAAAUCUAAAAGCGUUGAUUAUGGUUGUCUUGGAGUGGGCAGAAAGGUGCAAGAUGUGGGGGCAUUGGAGGGAGGGAGGACUGCUAUUUUUCACAACAAACUAUCGAUUGGAUUCUUUAAACUAUGUUCAUUUUAAAUUUUGAUUAAAACAACUAAAACCAAAAAGAAAAUCACAUUAUAUAACUGUAUAAAAAUAUAGCUAAGAGGUGAUCUAAUAAUAUUUGAUGGAAGGAAAUUUGUCUUUUCUUAGGGUGAUAACCAACUGCUUGUUGUAUUUGUGAAGUCAAGAUUUUGGUUAGGCUCACUGUCCUCUCCAGCACGUGCUCUCCUCUCUGAAGCAGUUGUGCCUUUCCCUUCCUCCUUGUAUCCUCCCCUAGGUGCUUACCUUUGCCUUUCUCUUUCCUAAGUUCCAAGGGCCCUUCUUUUGCUUCUGUAACGUGUUUCCUGAGCCUAGGUAGCCCAGCUGGCUCACUUCUGCUACCUCUGUAGCUUUCUAAAUGACCUUUCUCUUAUAACUUGGGGGUCUGGGGUGAAAAAGGCCCUGGCUGGAUAGUUCAGUUGGUUAGAGCGUCAUCCUGAUUGGAGACUGUUCCCCACCAGGGUUGUGGGUUUGAUCCCAGUCAGUGUACGUACAAGAAGCAACCAAUGAAAGCAUAAAUAAGUGAAAAAUUUAUUUCCAUUUAUGUGGAAAUUCAUGUUUCUCACUUUCUCGCUCCCUCUCUCCCCUGACCCUCAAAUCAAUUUAAGAAAAAGAUUUUGGUUCAUGCUGUGUUCUGGUAAGGAUUGUUUUAUGGGUAUUUCCGAAUAGAUGAGGUAUUUCCUUUCCUGAAGCUCUUGGGACUAACAGUCCAUACUCAGCCAUCCGGCAUGCCUUCUGUGCAGUUAUGGAGUAAAGCCUGAGUGCAUUGCCCUGGCUCCUCUUCUGAGUUCCUUACAACUCCAUGGGCCACUGGCAGAGGUGUGGUGUGAAGGACAGAGCACUGACUUUGCGGACCUUAGGUCAAACUCCAGCUCAAUCACAUGCUAUUUGUGUGACCUCAGAAAAGUUACCUAAUCACUCUGAACCAUAAUUUCUUCAUCUGUAAAAUGGGGCUAUGUUUCACCCACCUCGUAGCAGCGCUAAGUGAUUAAAUAAAAUUAUGUUUAUAAAGUACUUGGCAGAAGCUCAAAAAAUAUUAAUUUCUUCCUCUCACGGGUUCAGAGCAGUAGUCAUUUGAAUUAUA